ACCAAGUUCCGGGUUGUUCCUACAACAGCGGCAGGAUCCACUCCAUAUUUCAGAGUUGCUCUGUGACAGCUGGAUCAUCUUCAUCUUCUCACCUAGGUUCAUGAGUUUUCUUUGUGGCUUUCCUGGCAAGCACAGACUGCUUUAUGACUUCUUCAGCACAGAGCACCCAAAGGGCCCAGGAAGAGAUGCCCUCCUCGCCAGUGCCCUGAGGAGGUCCACAGCUCAGGUCAGGCUGUUGGACGGCAGCUCCCCCACACAGCUUUGCUUUGGAGAGGCAGGACAUCCAGUGGGGAGCGGGCCUUCCCCUGAGGAGGAAGCAGGUACCACACAACCUCUGUGCAGUUCCCACCUUGAGAAGCAGCUGGGGCCUCUGUUCCAUGUUUGGGUCACAAGGUGUGCUCAGGCUGUUCCAUUAGACCUACACCCUCCCAGGGUUCUAGAAUGGAGACAUGAAGCCUCUGCACACCAGGGUGAGGAGGGGAGGCAAAGCUGAGAAAUGGCCCGCGAUGAUGUUGCUGACUUGCCGGCACAGCUAGAUACUAAAACAGCUGUUUAACCUCUUCUUCCCUGGAAUUCAUUAACAGUCUCAUUCACCAUAUUAUAAUGACCUUGCUAAUUAUGGGAAAGAAAAUUCUUAAGUCAGUGAAUUUUCAGCCAAAGUGGUGCUGAUGCAAAAUACAAGAAAUUGCUUUGUUUCUAUACAGGGAAUUUAUUUGGGGUAGGAGCUUACAGAUACUAGGUCAUAAAGCAUAAGCUACAUCCCUCACCAGUCUAUUUUCACAUGUUCAAGCAAGAUGGCUGCUGACAGCUGUGAGGAUUCAGGCUUCCUGGGUUCCUUCCUUCCAGGGUCUUGCUUCUUCCUGGGGUCAGGGUUCCUCUCUUCCUGGGCCUUGCUUCUGUUUCCUCUGU
rnacentral:lncRNA from 1 species